rnacentral:rRNA from 1 species
UACGUAGGGCGCAAGCGUUAUCCGGAAUUAUUGGGCGUAAAGAGCUCGUAGGCGGUUUGUCGCGUCUGCCGUGAAAGUCCGGGGCUCAACUCCGGAUCUGCGGUGGGUACGGGCAGACUGGAGGUAUGCAGGGGAGAGCGGAAUUCCUGGUGUAGCGGUGAAAUGCGCAGAUAUCAGGAGGAACACCGGUGGCGAAGGCGGGUCUCUGGGCCGAUACUGAUGCUGAGGAGCGAAAGCGUGGGGAGCGAACAGG